CGAGCGGUAGAGUGAGGCGAGACAGCGGCUGGGCAGGCACUAGCAGCGCGAGGAAACGGAGCAGAACGAGAGUAGGACAGAACCGACCGCUCGUGCUGAGCAGCAGACAGACACACACACACACACACACACACACUCCGUACUCCCGCGAGCCUGAAGAGAGGGGACUGGGCCGCGUGGGGGAACGCAGAUCAUGCGCCGUCGCGCGCUGUCUAGGCUACUCCGGUUCGGUGUCGGUAGACAUUCGGUCUGAUCCCGGCCGCGAGCGGAGGACAGAGCUGCCCGUGACGACUGUUGACACUCUCAUCUCCCUCGCACAUGAGACUGGACUGGAAACACGAGCGAGACGAAACGAUGCUGCUGCUGUGUUCAAGACUCUCAGGCACAAGUGUGUGUGUGUAGCACUGUGUCAGGAAACCCCUCACACACAUGCACACACACACACACACACCCAUGGAACGAGACCGGGGAUCUUUCAGAAGAUGCAAGGGAAAGUGUGUGUGUGUGUGUGUGUGUGUGUGAUCUGUGGAAAAUCACAGAAGUGUCAGAGAAAGGACAGGAUCAUCGCUGGAAGCUUAUUGG